rnacentral:rRNA from 1 species
AGAAGGCCUUCGGGGUUGUAAAGCUCUUUCGGCCGUGAAGAAAUCGCACAGGCUAAUACUCUGUGUGGAUGACGGUACCGGCAUAAGAAGCACCGGCUAACUACGUGCCAGCAGCCGCGGUAAUACGUAGGGUGCGAGCGUUAAUCGGAAUUACUGGGCGUAAAGCGUGCGCAGGCGGUUAGAUAAGUUUGAUGUGAAAUCCCCGGGCUCAACCUGGGAACUGCAUUGAAGACUGNCUGACUAGAGUACGGCAGAGGGGGGUGGAAUUCCACGUGUAGCAAUGAAAUGCGUACAGAUGUGGAGGAACACCGAUGGCGAAGGCANCCCCCUGGGUCGAUACUGACGCUCAUGCACGAAAACGUGGGGAGC